rnacentral:rRNA from 1 species
ACGCUCGACACCUACGCGAGGCAGCAGUGGGGAAUAUUGCACAAUGGGGGAAACCCUGAUGCAGCGACGCCGCGUGAGCGAAGAAGUAUCUCGGUAUGUAAAGCUCUAUCAGCAGGGAAGAAGAUGACGGUACCUGACUAAGAAGCACCGGCUAAAUACGUGCCAGCAGCCGACGGUAAUCUGAGGCGGGCUGGCAAGGC